UUUAUGUUUUUUCAUGAAAAAGAGAUGAAGAGAAAGAAGAUCUCUGAGUCCCCGCGCCCACCUUGCUUGGAAUCCAGUCCAAGGUCUAGGCCCCACCCUGCUUUUCUUUAUUCAAAGAAAAAGAAAAAAAAAGGAAAGGAGGAAGAAGCAGACAGCUCAAUCUUUAUUCUUUAAGUAACUCGAGCCUCAAGCAAAGCACCAUCUUAGCUUUGUCCAAAACUAAAGCCAAAGAAAGAACCAACACAGGCCAGACCUGCUCUGCAUACAAUCAAAUCUUCAGUAUCCCCAUCCAUUAAUUCAUCCAUUGUUCCUCCUUCAUCUCGCAUAGGCAAUAGAUAGAUCAGCACACAGGAUUGUGCCAACCAGCCAGCUGAUUAAGGUGCCAGCUGCAAUUGAUCAAUGGGUUAGAUUUCUGGAGCUUCUUGUCUCUGGAAGGCUUUCAUUCAAACAUUAGUCAUCAUGCCUCGGCAGUAUAUUACUCCGGACACCAUUGAAGAAGCGGUGCAGACAAUAAUCCCUUAUCUAGAGGAUACAAGCAGUACUGCGCACAAGGCCAUCUAUUUUGAUGGAUGGAAAGGGCUGGCUGCUUCGGCGGUGCUUAGAGCCAUAGCCAAAGACCCUCCGCCGUCUCUGCUGAACAAAUUCGACAAGAUCGUCCACGUCGAUUGCUCGAGGUGGAAAAGCCGACGAGCACUCCAGAGGACAAUCGCACAAGAACUCAAGCUUCCUCAAAGGGUAAUGGAUAUGUUUGAUAGACAAGAUGAAGAAGAUGAUUUCCAAGGGGCAGAUGAAGGGUCCAGAGCUGAGAUACAAGAUGUUGGGGCAGAGAUCUAUCAGGUUGUACAACAAGAGAAACAAUUACUGGUCUUCCAUAAUGGGAGCGGCAACACAAUUGACCUGAAUGAUUUUGGCAUUCCUCUGUCAGUGUGGGGUAGUCGAGUAUUGUGGACAUUUCGAGGGAGGCUCCGACUCAGCCCAGGAGUCAGUAAGAAGGUGGAUGAUUCACAUCUUUUUCUUCAUCGUGAUUGGAGUCCUUAUUUAGGGUGGAAUUAUUUGCUUCAAAUAGAGGCUGCAGAAAUUGCUGGGUACAAAGAUAAGCUUGGUGAAGUAUCGGAAGAGUGUUGCUUGUAUCUGUUGUCAUUAAAUUCUCAAGGAGGCAAUAUCAUGGACUAUGACUGGGCCACACAUGCUUCUAACUACUGGGUCUGUGAUGGGAUUAUACAAGGAGGCCAUGGUGACGAAGCAUGGGAGGCUGCAGCUGCUCUACAUGAACAAAUAUGUAUAGAGGAUUAUUCAUCUAAUACAGUACCAUAUUUUGGGGAUGAACUGAAGACUCCUUCAAAACGCUGGAUAUUGUCCAAGGAAAACUCUGUUGUGCAUCCAGAGUCAACGUCCUUUUUCCUUGCCGCAGUUGCAAGCGAGUCGGAUCCUCCAUUAAGAUCCUUACCCGAUGACAUGUUUCAUAAAUCAGACAAACUUUGUGUGCUCAAGUUAUGCCGCUGCACCUUCAGUUUUUCCUCUCCUCCUUUUCGUCGUUGCCGCAGCUUAAGGUUCCUUGGAUUAGAUGGCUGCCAGGAUCUACGACCAGAAGAAGAUGAGAAGCAAAAUAUAUGGAUUUUUUGAAGAGCCUAUGGGUGAUAGACAUACACAAUACAGACUGGAAUCUGCCUUCAUCACCAGAGAUAAUAAAGCAGAUGGCUACAAACAUUAGGGAAGUACAUAUAAAGAAUGGAAGGUUUUGGCACAUCAUUUUUGCAUUGGGACAACCACAAAAUCUUCACAAGCUUCGAGUUAUUGACCCUACAUGCUGCUCUUUGGAGACAGGCUUGCCCAGCUUGUCAAGUUCAACUAGCCUCAAGACUCUCUGGUUCUAGAUGGUUGUGUUGGUUUGGAGCAUGUCGAAGGACUCCCUCCAUCACUUGAAUCAUUCAGCUUAGAUGCAAGACCAAGAAAAGAUGAUUACAAGGAAGCCAAAAUAAGCCGCAUCUCCUUGGCUGGUUGUGCAAGAUUGUCUGAAUUCACACUGAGGGGAUCACUUCCAAACCUUGAGGAGCUGGACCUAUCUGGCACGAAAGUCAAGACACUUGAUCUCACAACUCAAGUGGUGCAGGUCCCACAUCUCCAAAAAAUUAUUCUAUUGGGAUGUAUGCAGCUCCUUUCCAUUCUAUGGCCAAAAAAUGGGAUGCCAAAAGAUACAUUGUUAAGUAUUGAUUCUUCAGUCUGCCAUGUCCAAGCAGAAUUUCAUCAAGCAUAUGCUACUAUAAUGGACAUAAGGUUUCUUCAGUCGAGACCUUGGUUCCAUUUGAAGCUAUGUGUCCCAGCUUGUAGCAACAAAGUUGAGGAUCAAAGCAAUAAGAAGAACACGGCCAUUGGUAGUAGCGCACCGCAGAUAAUGGGUCCUCCUCAGCCCAAGUUAUUAUUACCCAAUGCUUACAUCACGUACAUGGAUGUCGCUGUUGACAACAUGACUGUUGAUGAUGGCUAUAAUAGUGCAUCGCAGUUUCAGCCGCUGGGCUCCCAUGUGGAGAUUAGUGAUGGAAUUAGUUUCACAGGAGUGCACUGUCAUCCCUGGACAUAUGGUGUGUCCAUAGAAAGUAAUGUACUUACAUGGAAUCUGAAAUCUUGUCACGUGGUGAGAUGCCCCAAGAUGCGUACGGUCUUCAAUAUUGAUUGGAGGUAUUACUACUUUGAAGAACUAGUUGAGUUUUGGGCGGCUGAUCUCCUAUCAGCCCAUUGCAUUUGGAGCAAACAAAGGGUGUCGGAUUUUCAAGACAAUCGUUCCUUUGCGAAACUGGAGAGCAUACACCUGUUCUCCUGCCCGAGGCUCACGUUUGUCCUCCGGUGGUCCAGGUUAUACAUCUUGAGAAGCUUGGAGAUCCUCCACAUCACCUUCUGUGGUGAUCUAAAGCAGGUGUUCCCGGUGGAGCCAGAGAUUCUGGCAAGAAUAGCUACAAGCCAGUGUAAAGGUGCACUGGAGUUCCCAAACCUGAAGCAUAUAUACUUGCAUCAGCUCUUCAAGCUGCAACAGAUAUGCGAGGCCAAGAUGUUUUCUCCCAAGCUUGAGACCAUCAAGGUUAGGGGAUGCUGGGCUCUCAGGCGCCUCCCGGCUGUCGGUCGAGACAACCGUCCCGUCGUGGACUGCGAGAAGGACUGGUGGGAGAAGUUAGAGUGGGACGGGCUGGAAACCGGCCACGACCCUUCCCUCUUCAAGCCUCGCCACUCUGCGUAUUACAAGAAGCCCCUGCCUAGAGGCUCAGUUCUGUGGUGAGCUGAACAAGCUGUUCAGGUUUGAUGGAUGUAUGGCGGCAGAGCCUACAACGAUGGCCGGCGUCUUGCUGCUUUCCACCCUUCACACUGCAAGCGCAAGCCAAAUCCUUUUGGGUGUGUUGUUUCCUUCCUGAAGAAAGAAUAAAGUGGUGCUAGCUAGCUAGCUUGCUUGCUUGAUGCCGCACAUGCAUGCUUAGUCGUUUUGCGUGUCUGUCCGUUCUCAAGACUUAUGAUUCAUUGUUGGUGUGGUUUGUUUUCUGCUCAUGUGUGUGCUGAGUUUGCAAUGUGUGUUGUCAUUCUGAUUCAGUACAGCAGAAUGCAUGUGUAUGCUUGACUGAGAAUGCAUGGCUUGGUGUGAUGUACAUGAAAUGGAUUAUAUAUCAACUGAGUAUUUAUUUAUUUGGUUC